AGAAUCAACGCUGGCGGCGUGCCUAACACAUGCAAGUCGAACGCGACUAAGGGCUUCGGUUCUUAGUUGAGUGGCGAACGGGUGAGUAACACGUGGGUGAUCUACCUUCGAGCGGGGGAUAACGUUCCGAAAGGAACGCUAAUACCGCAUGAUGUCCUGGGCUUAAAGACCCGGAGACCAAAGCUAGGGACCGUAAGGCCUGGCACUUGAAGAGGAGCCCGCGUCCGAUUAGCUAGUUGGCGGGUAAUGGCCCACCAAGGCGACGAUCGGUA
rnacentral:rRNA from 1 species